GAUGAACGCUGGCGGCGUGCCUAAUACAUGCAAGUCGAGCGAACGGACGAGAAGCUUGCUUCUCUGAUGUUAGCGGCGGACGGGUGAGUAACACGUGGAUACCCUACCUAUAAGACUGGGAUAACUUCGGGAAACCGGCGCUAAUACCGGAUGAUCUUUUGAACCGCAUGGUUCAAAAGUGAAAGACGGCCUUGCUGUCACUUAUCGAUGGAUCCGCGCUGCAUUAGCUAGUUGGUAAGGUAACGGCUUACCAAGGCAACGAUGCAUAGCCGACCUGAGAGGGUGAUCGGCCACACUGGAACUGAGACACGGUCCAGACUCCUACGAGAGGCAGCAGUAGGGAAUCUUCCGCAAUGGGCGAAAGCCUGACGGAGCAACGCCGCGUGAGUGAUGAAGGUCUUCGGAUCGUAAAACUCUGUUAUUAGGGAAGAACAUAUGUGUAAGUAACUGUGCACAUCUUGACGGUACCGAAUCAGAAAGCCACGGCUAACUACGUG
rnacentral:rRNA from 1 species